rnacentral:rRNA from 1 species
GUAUAAGAGACAGCAGCCGCCGCGGUAAUACGUAGGUGGCAAGCGUUGUCCGGAAUUAUUGGGCGUAAAGGGCUCGCAGGCGGUUUCUUAAGUCUGAUGUGAAAGCCCCCGGCUCAACCGGGGAGGGUCAUUGGAAACUGGGAAACUUGAGUGCAGAAGAGGAGAGUGGAAUUCCACGUGUAGCGGUGAAAUGCGUAGAGAUGUGGAGGAACACCAGUGGCGAAGGCGACUCUCUGGUCUGUAACUGACGCUGAGGAGCGAAAGCGUGGGGAGCGAACAGGAUUAGAUACCCGGGUAGUCCCUGUCUCUUAUAC